UUUGUUAGUCCUAGGAUGUAUCCACCUCUUUGAAGAUCGGCCAAGUUCCUCAUCCCAACAUGAGCUAGACAACGAUGCCAUAACCAUCCCAUGCUAGAUUUUGCCACUAAACAAGUCUUGGACCCCACUCUACUAGAUGAGAAAUCAACUAGAUAGAGCUUGCCCUUAAGUUGACCCAUAAAAGCAAUAGAGGCAUCCGACCUUCUAGAGACUUCUACACCCUUAUUCGUAAAGAGACAAUUGUAACCCUUCUCACAAAGUUGUGAGAUGGACAACAAAUUGUAUCCCAAUGAAUUCA
rnacentral:lncRNA from 1 species